AGUCGAACGGACUAUUUCGAUAGUUAGUGGCGGACGGGUGCGUAACGCGUACGGAACCUAUCCGGGAGAGGGGGAUACCUGAUGGAAACGUCAGUUAAUCCCGCAUAAUGCAGCGGCACCAGAAGGUGACAGUUGUUAAAGAUUUAUCGCUUCCGGCGGGUCGUGCGUGAGAUUAGCUAGUUGGUAGGGUAACGGCCUACCAAGGCGACGAUCUCUAGCUGGUCUGAGAGGAUGAUCAGCCACACGGGCACUGAGACACGGGCCCGACUCCUACGGGAGGCAGCAGUCGGGAAUAUUGGGCAAUGGGCGCAAGCCUGACCCAGCCAUGCCGCGUGCAGGAAGAAGGCCCACUGGGUUGUAAACUGCUUUUCUUUGGGGCUAAGGCCGUAUUCGAUACGGAUUGCAGGUACCAGAGGAAUAAGCACCGGCAAACUACGUGCCAGCAGCCGCGGUAAUACGUAGGGUGCAAGCGUUGUCCGGAUUUACUGGGUUUAAAGGGUGCGUAGGCGGCUUGUUAAGUCGUAGAUGAAAUGUCGGGGCUCAACCUCGGCGCUGUUUACGAUACUGACGGGCUAGAGCGGUCAUGAGGCAGCUGGAAUGAGUGGUGUAGCGGUGAAAUGCGUAGAGAUCACUCAGAACACCGAUUGCGAAGGCAAGUUGCUGGGGA
rnacentral:rRNA from 1 species